GACGAACGCUGGCGGCGUGCCUAAUACAUGCAAGUAGGACGCAGUUGCGAACGGGUGAGUAACGCGUAGGUAACUACCUAUUAGUGGGGGAUAACUAUUGGAAACGAUAGCUAAUACCGCAUACUAGUAGAUGGACCUGCGUUGUAUUAGGUAGUAGGUAGGGUAAUGGCCUACCUAGGCAAAGAUACAUAGCCGAGCUGGGAAGGUGAACGGCCAACAUGGGAAUUGGACACGGGCCAGAACCCUACGGGGAGGAGCAGGAGGGGAUCUUCGGCAAAGGGGGGAAACCUGACCGAGCAAAGCCGCGGGGGUGGAAGAGGUUUUCGGGGCGGAAAGCUCUGUUGUUAAGGGAGCGGUACUUAACCAGAAAGGGACGGCUAACUACGUGCCAGCAGCCGCGGUAAUUC
rnacentral:rRNA from 1 species